UACGAAGGGGGCUAGCGUUGCUCGGAAUCACUGGGCGUAAAGCGCACGUAGGCGGAUCUUUAAGUCAGGGGUGAAAUCCUGGAGCUCAACUCCAGAACUGCCUUUGAUACUGGGGAUCUCGAGUCCGGAAGAGGUGAGUGGAACUCCGAGUGUAGAGGUGAAAUUCGUAGAUAUUCGGAAGAACACCAGUGGCGAAGGCGCUCACUGGUCCGGUACUGACGCUGAGGUGCGAAAGCGUGGGGAGCA
rnacentral:rRNA from 1 species